GUUGAAUUAAGAAGCUUUACUUUCAUAAUAUAAAGUAGGUGAAUUGCUAGAAAAUUGAAUAAUAUGACAACGAAAAAAGCUUGAACUUUAAGUCUCUUAAUUAGGUUACUUCCAAACAAGGCCUUAGCUGCCAUCAAGUGGCACCCACCAAGGUAAUGUUUAGCAAAAGAACCCAUUUUCUUGAUGUGAUUGGGAUUGGGAAGAUUAA
rnacentral:misc_RNA from 1 species